CUUAUUAUUGCUAUUCUAUCGCGACGAUAGAUCACGUGGUUGACGAAGGACUUGGACUCGAAGACUUCAAAGACCUCGGAGACUUUGCUGACCAAGGCAAGCAUCCCUUUGACCGUGUCCAAGAAACUUGACUUGCAUGUCAUAUGAUACUCUACUUAUGCAUAUUUUCCUGUUGUAACGGAGACCCCCCCCCCAUGUUGGGUUGUCCCCAAUGAACACCUCAUUGAAACUUGAAUUUGGGCAUGACCCCACCAUCUAUGAGGGUUGUGCAUAUGGGAUGUAGACAGUUGCUAGUAGGUGCUACGCAAGAAGGGAUGGGUAUAUGCA
rnacentral:lncRNA from 1 species